GACGUAGGGUGCGAGCGUUGUCCGGAUUUAUUGGGCGUAAAGAGCUCGUAGGCGGUUUGUCGCGUCUGCUGUGAAAACCCGAGGCUCAACCUCGGGCCUGCAGUGGGUACGGGCAGACUAGAGUGCGGUAGGGGGGACUGGAACUCUCGGUGGAGCGGUGAAAUGCGUAGAUAUCGAGAGGAACACCGGUGGCGAAGGCGGGUCUCUGGGCAUUUCCUGACGCUGAGGCGCGAAAGCGUGGGGAGCAAACGGG
rnacentral:rRNA from 1 species